rnacentral:snRNA from 1 species
AGAUGUGAGGGUGAUCUGUCACUCCAUUGAUUGCCAGGGUUGAUUCGGCUGAUCUGGCUGGCUAGGUGGAUGCCCCCUCCCUCCCUGCUCCAUGUGCGUCUCUCCAGAAAGCUGCACGCUUGGUGGAAGAUGAUGACCAUCCCAGAUAGAAGGUGUGUACCAAUUUUUGGUCAAGGGUAUACAAUAGCUGUGCUCCCCUGCUAGAACCUCCAAACAAUGAAAAGUAAUAUUGCGCCAAAAGUUUUCUUUGUAAUUAAGAUGUUUUAAAAAUAAAGAUAGAUUCCAAUUAGAAAGAGAGAAGCUUGGAUUUUUUCUUU